AGUGAACGCUGGCGGUAGGCCUAACACAUGCAAGUCGAACGGCAGCACAGUAAGAUCUUGCUCUUACGGGUGGCGAGUGGCGGACGGGUGAGGAAUACAUCGGAAUCUACUUUUUCGUGGGGGAUAACGUAGGGAAACUUACGCUAAUACCGCAUACGACCUACGGGUGAAAGCAGUGGAUCUUCGGACCUUGCCCGAUUGAAUGAGCCGAUGUCGGAUUAGCUAGUUGGCGGGGUAAAGGCCCACCAAGGCGACGAUCCGUAGCUGGUCUGAGAGGAUGAUCAGCCACACUGGAACUGAGACACGGUCCAGACUCCUACGGGAGGCAGCAGUGGGGAAUAUUGGACAAUGGGCGCAAGCCUGAUCCAGCAAUGCCGCGUGGGUGAAGAAGGCCUUCGGGUUGUAAAGCCCUUUUGUUGGGGAAGAAAAGCAGCAGAUUAAUACCCCGCUGUUCUGACGGUACCCAAAGAGUAAGCACCGGCUAACUUCGUG
rnacentral:rRNA from 1 species